rnacentral:tRNA from 1 species
UGGGACGUGGCCUAGUGGUAGGGCAACGCUUUUUGGUAGCGCAGAUCGUAGGUUCGAAUCCUACCGUCCCAACCA